rnacentral:precursor_RNA from 9 species
GUUACCUGAAAUGGCAGCGAUGUGACGUGACGGGGAUUCUACUUUUGGUGAAGCGAGCUCAGAUGACUUCACCGGGCUCGAAUCCCUGUCCUGUCAUGAUUCAUGUGCUCAGUUCCACCU